AGAUGAGAUUCAUUUACUUUUUAUCGUAUGUUAACCAACUUGUAUUUGUUAGUGACAAAAUUUAUUAUUUAUAUUUAUUAUAAUUUUUAUUAUGGUAUUUUAUUAAUAUUAUAAAAUUAUUGCACUACUAUAUGUUGUGUAUAAUAACGAGGUAUGCACUUCUCAUCUUGUAGGACGUCGCGACCCGUUAAUUAUUGAUUUAUGAAAUAUUUUUGUGCAUUGUAUAUUAUCAUUUUUAUAUUUUGUAUAAUAUAUGCCUAUAUUAUCUAAUCAAUUGUUUGACGGUAUGAAUAUAUAAAUAAAAGAUUAAGUGUAUAUUAAUUUAUACACGUUCAUAACCUGAAACGAGUUAAUAUGGGUUCUAUUUAAGAUUUUUUUUUUUUUAAAUAAACAAAUAUUUUUAUUUGGUUUUUAUACCAAUAAAAUAUACUGUAUUACUGUCAGUUUUGGGGUAUUUUUGAACAAUAAUCUUUUUGUCAGCGACGCUAUAGCUUUGGGUACUUUCAGGACCCGUCUUGAAACACGGACCAAGGAGUCUAGCAUGUGCGCAAGUCAUUGGGAAUAAAAUAUUUUUUCAUCGAAAUAUUAAUAAAUUUUAUGAAACCCAAAGGCAAAAUGAAAGUAAAAUAAUUUAUUAAAAGUGUCAAAAUUUUUUUUAAAUUUGAGGGAGGAUAUAUUUUUAUUAUGUAUUAAAUAUCGCACUCCCAGGGCAUCUUAUACUAUUCUUAUAAUUAUUUUAUAAUUUUUAUUAUGAAUAAAGGUGCACCUAGAGCGUACACGCUGGGACCCGAAAGAUGGUGAACUAUGCCUGGUCAGGACGAAGUCAGGGGAAACCCUGAUGGAGGUCCGUAGCGAUUCUGACGUGCAAAUCGAUCGUCGGAACUGGGUAUAGGGGCGAAAGACUAAUCGAACCAUCUAGUAGCUGGUUCCCUCCGAAGUUUCCCUCAGGAUAGCUGGCGUUCAUCAUUGAACGAGUCUCAUCCGGUAAAGCGAAUGAUUAGAGGCCUUGGGGCCGAAACGACCUCAACCUAUUCUCAAACUUUAAAUGGGUGAGAUCUCUAGCUUGCUUAAAAUCAUAUAUUAAUUUUUUUUUUCUUUUUGAAUAAAAUUUUUUAUAUAUGUGAAGCUAUGAGAAUAAUAUAACAAAAAUUUUUUUAUAUUUAUGGAUCAGAAUGCCAAGUGGGCCACUUUU
rnacentral:rRNA from 1 species